GAAGCUGUGAGGAAGAGGAUGAAGAGGAGGAGCUGCUCUGCCCCUGAACUCUAAAGAGACUCAAACUUCCUCCUUCAGCUCAGCUCUCCAACAUUAACUCUGCUCAACAUGCUGUCUCUGCUCACAUCUGGAUUCUCUCUGCUGGUUCUGAUCACUGGAUCAGGUGUAAACUGUCAACAACUCACUGCAGGGAAGAUUGAGGAGUUCAGUUCAGAGGGCAGCUCUGCUGCUCUGACCUGCAGUUACACCAAUAAGAUAUCUGCUGGUGAUGAUUUCUUUUGGUAUCUACAAAAUCCUGGAAAACCUCCAGAGUUCAUCUUCCACAUCUCAGGGUUCAACAGUUCAAGAUCAGCAGAGUCUCUGAAAUCAUCAACAAGAUUCUUCACUUACCUGAGAGGAGAGAAACACCUGCAUCUGCUGAUCUCCUCUGCUGUAGUGACAGACUCUGCUGUGUACUACUGCGCUGUGAGGCCCACAGUGACAGGAAACACCAGAACCCUGUACAAAAACCUGCAGUACUCCACACACCGACUCACUAACUUCAGCUGGUUUCUCAGUCAGAAAUCUCCUCACUGA